rnacentral:rRNA from 1 species
GUCUAUGGCCAUACCACCCUGACCGGGCCUGAUCUCAUCUGAUCUCAGAAGCUAAGCAGCGUCAGGCCUGGUUGGUACUUGGAUGGGAAACCCAGGGGUCAAAGACU